CUCUACUAGAUGUCUACUAGUAGUACCGCCUGCUCCAUGAAAUUUUUCAAUAGCCGCAAUUUCUGUGCUAAGGUAGCACAAUAAAUAGUCUUCUAAUUAAAGAAUAGAAUGAAAGGCAUCACGAAUUUUAAACCGUAUCUUAUCUAAAAAUAAAACUUAUAAAUUUAGUAAAAAUACUCAUUCACUUUAGAAAGACGAUAAGACCCUAAUAAACUAAAACUCAAGUUUCACUGGGGCGGUAAAUAUAACAAAAUCUUAUCAAACCAACUUCUAAAAAUUCAAAGUUACUAUAGGGAUAACAGCACAAUUUGUAUUUAAAGCUCUUAUCCAAAUACAAGAUUAUGACCUCGAUAUUGAAUUGAAACCAACUAUAAUUAAAGAAACAUUAUUAAAAGUAGGUCUGUUCGACCUUAAUACUUUCACAUG
rnacentral:rRNA from 1 species